CGAAAAGAAGUUGCGCAGUCUCCAGCAUGCUGCAUCGCAGCUGCGUGCUGGUCGACAGCUUUAAGGAGCACUACCACAGAGUGCACCUGCCACGCCGCCUUGCCCUGCAGCGGUACAUGAAACGAGAGGAGGCUCGCCUUAGCAAACACAAGGGCAAAGCGGUGGCCGCCGCUGCUGGAGUGCAGCCGGGAGAGGUGGUCUACAAGUACAACCGCUGGUGGGUAUCGAAUGAUCACGAGUUUGUGCAUCAGUUCGCGUUUGUCGAGGACCCCGACGUCACGCGCGAGAAGCGCACCACGCUGCCCCUCGUCACAAAGGAGAACAUCUGGAAAGAGCCGCAGCAGACUUUCUUCUUGCCUUUUGCGCCGUUCGUGCGUGUGGUGGACUACGCGAAGGACCCGGACACGAAGUUCUUGAAGCCGGUGAACAUCCCGCGCUGGAAGGACUACAUGCAGCGCACAAAGCCAAUUGUUCCCCGCACCUGGUACUAGCGCACGUAUCCAGUUUUCUCGAGCGAUGCAUGACGAUGCGCACGCAUGUGCGUAUGUGUGUGCAUGGUCGGUGCUUUUCGGGCCUUUCUGGUCCGUACUUGUUUUUGGUGCGGUUGACGAUGAUGGCGUAGGAGACCGAAAGCCCCAGCUGGAGCUGGACCCUUCACAGUAGCAGCGACGUGUGUGUGAGUGUGUGUGUGUGCGUGCCAAUGAUGCAGAACGGACAACAACAGAGACAAGUGCACCGAAGGAAAGUGACUGCGGGCUUGAUGGAUUGCAUUGCUUCAGGGGCGGCUGGUGAAGAAGCAAGUCAACUCAGAUGUUUGCUCAUGUAUGCAUGCAUGUGCUCCCCCGCAGCCAGCUGCCCUUCCUCCGCCCUUCGCCCUCCCCUUUGGCCGGUGUGUGUUCACCUUCCUCUUCCAGUUCACGCCAGUUAUGUGGCUUAGUGC
rnacentral:misc_RNA from 1 species